rnacentral:rRNA from 1 species
GACCUCAAGUCAUGUGAGAGUACCCGCUGAACUUAAGCAUAUCAAUAAGCGGAGGAAAAGAAACUAACAAGGAUUCCCCUAGUAACGGCGAGUGAAGCGGGAAGAGCACAAAUUUAAAAUCUACCUGGUUUCCAGGUCGAGUUGUAAUUUGAAGAAACGUUUUUGACGUUCCGAGUUGGGAUAAAUCCUUUGGGAUAAGGUAUCAUGGAGGGUGAGAAUCCCGUGUAUACCAACCGCAGGGAUGUUAUUCAAUACGUUUUCUAAGAGUCGAGUUGUUUGGGAAUGCAGCUCUAAAUGGGUGGUAAAUUUCACCUAAUGCUAAAUAUAAGCGAGAGACCGAUAGCGAACAAGUACCGUGAGGGAAAGAUGAAAAGAACUUUGAAAAGAGAGUUAAAUAGUACGUGAAAUUGUCGAAAGGGAAACGAUUGAAGUCAGUCAUGCCGGCGGGAAUCAACUUAGGGGAAACUCUAAGUGCACUUCACGUUUGGCAGGUCAGCGUCGAUUUUGGAUAUCAUAAAAUGAUUGGGGGAAGGUAGCUCCUUCGGGAGUGUUAUAGCCCUUGAUAGAUGUGAUGUCUGGGAUCGAGGAUUGCAACGGAUACCCUUUGGGCUAGCCGCCUGAUCUCUAACUGGUGUUGAGUUACGGACAGCAUGCUGACCGUGAUUUAAUUACUGGUUAAAAGGUUAGAGCGAGUGUAAAUUCGUUAAGGACGCUGACGUAAUGGCUUUAAACGACCCGUCUUGAAACACGGACCAAGGAGUCUAACAUGUAUGCGAGUGUUAGGGUAUUAAACCCAGACGCGAAAUGAAAGUGAGUGUAGGUGGGAUCCUUUAUUGGAGCACCAUCGACCGAUCUUGAGAUUUAUCGAUAGAAUUGAGUUAGAGC